rnacentral:rRNA from 1 species
CGAACGCUGGCGGCAGGCUUAACACAUGCAAGUCGAACGCGUGUAGCAAUACACGAGUGGCGCACGGGUGAGUAACGCGUGGAUAUCUGCCUUUUGGUUCGGAAUAACCCCGGGAAACUGGGGCUAAUACCGGAUGGUUCCUUCGGGAUAAAGAUUUAUCGCCAAAAGAUGAGUCCGCGUACGAUUAGCUAGUUGGUGAGGUAAUGGCUCACCAAGGCGACGAUCGUUAGCUGGUCUGAGAGGACGAUCAGCCACACUGGGACUGAGACACGGCCCAGACUCCUACGGGAGGCAGCAGUGGGGAAUAUUGGACAAUGGGGGCAACCCUGAUCCAGCCAUGCCGCGUGAGUGAUGAAGGCCUUCGGGUUGUAAAGCUCUUUUGGCGGGGACGAUGAUGACGGUACCCGCAGAAUAAGCCCCGGCUAACUUC